UUUUAUAUUAUAUAUCAGAAAAAUAAAUUAAUAAUAAAUAAUAAUAUUCUUGAUUUUUCACCUAUAAGAUAUAGAGUUUGUAAAUUUUGAUUUAUAGUUUGUCUAAUUUUUUUUCUGAUGAUCAUUAGGAGUAUAAUAAAAAAAAUAGAGGUAAUAAUGUCAAAAAUAAGACCUUCAUUUUUCAACUACUAUCAACAAUAAAAUCAUUUUAAAAUAUCACAAUAUCAUUAAUAACAAAUUAAGAUAACUCUUUUUUAGAAGAUAACAUACAAAAC
rnacentral:lncRNA from 1 species